CCUACGGGCGGCAGCAGUCGAGAAUCAUUCACAAUGGGGGAAACCCUGAUGGGGCGACGCCGCGUGGGGGAAUGAAGGUCUUCGGAUUGUAAACCCCUGUCAUGUGGGAGCAAAUUAAAAAGAUAGUACCACAAGAGGAAGAGACGGCUAACUCUGUGCCAGCAGCCGCGGUAAUACAGAGGUCUCAAGCGUUGUUCGGAAUCACUGGGCGUAAAGCGUGCGUAGGCGGUUUCGUAAGUCGUGUGUGAAAGGCGCGGGCUCAACCCGCGGACGGCACAUGAUACUGCGAGACUAGAGUAAUGGAGGGGGAACCGGAAUUCUCGGUGUAGCAGUGAAAUGCGGAGAUAUCGAGAGGAACACUCGUGGCGAAGGCGGGUUCCUGGACAUUAACUGACGCUGAGGCACGAAGGCCAGGGGAGCGAAAGGGAUUAGAUACCCGGGUAGUC
rnacentral:rRNA from 1 species